rnacentral:rRNA from 1 species
GACGAACGCUGGCGGCGCGCCUAACACAUGCAAGUCGAGCGAAGCGGCGAACGGGUGAGUAACGCGUGAGGAACCUGCCUCUCACAACGGUAUAGCCUCGGGAAACCGGGAUUAAUACCGUAUGGUGAGAGAUGGCCUCGAGCCGGAUUAGUUAGUUGGUGGGGUAACGUCCUACCAAGACGACGAUCAGUAACCGGCCUGAGAGAGUGAACGGUCACGUUGGAACGGGGACACUGUACAAACUCCUACGUGAGGCAGCAGUGGGGAAUCUUGCACAAUGGGGGGAGCCCUGAGGCUGCGACGCCGGUUGAGCGAUGAAGUUUUUCGAAUCGUAAAGCUCUGUCCUAUGAAAAGCGGUACCAUAGGAGAAAGCCCCGGCUAACUACGUGCCAGCAGCCGCGGUAAUAC